rnacentral:rRNA from 1 species
UACGAAGGGUGCAAGCGUUACUCGGAAUCACUGGGCGUAAAGCGCACGUAGGCGGAUUGUUAAGUCAGGGGUGAAAUCCUGGAGCUCAACUCCAGAACUGCCUUUGAUACUGGCGAUCUUGAGUCCGGGAGAGGUGAGUGGAACUGCGAGUGUAGAGGUGAAAUUCGUAGAUAUUCGCAAGAACACCAGUGGCGAAGGCGGCUCACUGGCCCGGUACUGACGCUGAGGUGCGAAAGCGUGGGGAGCAAACAGG